UGCCAGCCGCCGCGGUAAGACGAAGGUGGCAACCGUUGUUCGGAAUCACUGGGCAUAAAGCGCACGUAGGCGGGAGUGUAAGUCGGGUGUGAAAUCCCUCGGCCCAACCGAGGAACUGCGCCCGAAACUGUACUUCUUGAGGAUAGGAGGGGAGCAUGGAAUUCCUGGUGGAGCGGUGAAAUGCGUUGAUAUCAGGAGGAACACCGGCGGCGAAGGCGAUGCUCUGGCCUAUUUCUGACGCUGAGGUGCGAAAGCCAGGGGAGCAAACGGGAUUAGAUA
rnacentral:rRNA from 1 species